rnacentral:lncRNA from 1 species
GCCAUCUUAAUGGGGUUAAGUGGUGGUGGCGCUCCCGGGCUGAGGACGCUGAUCCUUUAGAGCUUGGGUCAUCCAGUACGUCGGCUAUCCCGUAUGCAAAUUGAAGGGAGGAAAAGAUUAGGAGUAUAAUUAAGGAUAGAUUACAAAUAAAUAAAGAUAAUUGGGACAUGGUCAA